rnacentral:rRNA from 1 species
CCAGCCCCCCGAGUGGUGGGGAUGAUUAUUUGGCCUAAAGCGUCCGUAGCCAGCUCGGUAAAUCUCUCGUCAAAUCCAGCGUCCUAAGCGUUGGGCUGCGAGGGAAACUGCCGAACUAGAGGGUGGGAGAGGUCAGCGGUAUUCCUGGGGUAGGGGCGAAAUCCAUUGAUCCCAGGAGGACCACCAGUGGCGAAGGCUGCUGACUAGAACACGCCUGACGGUGAGGGACGAAAGCUGGGGUAGCGAAUCGGAUUAGAUACCCGAGUAGUCCCAGCCGUAAACGAUGCAGGCUAGGUGUUGGGUCGGCCAUGCGCCGCCUCAGUGCCACAGGGAAGCCAUUAAGCCUGCCGCCUGGGGAGUACGGCCGC